rnacentral:rRNA from 1 species
UACGUAGGUGGCAAGCGUUGUCCGGAAUUAUUGGGCGUAAAGGGCGUGUAGGUGGAUCUUUAAGUCGUGUGUCUAAGUGCGGUGCUCAACGCCGUAUGGGCGCAGGAAACUGGGGAUCUUGAGUGCAGGAGAGGAAAGCGGAAUUCCCAGUGUAGCGGUGAAAUGCGUAGAUAUUGGGAGGAACACCAGUGGCGAAGGCGGCUUUCUGGACUGUGUCUGACACUGAGGCGCGAAAGACAGGGGAGCGAACGGG